rnacentral:rRNA from 1 species
UAGGGAAUCUUCCGCAAUGGACGAAAGUCUGACGGAGCAACGCCGCGUGAACGAAGAAGGCCUUCGGGUCGUAAAGUUCUGUUGUUAGGGAAGAACAAGUAUCAGAGUAACUGCUGGUACCUUGACGGUACCUAACCAGAAAGCCACGGCUAACUACGUG